UAGCCAAGGAUUAUUCUUUGCUAGACUGGA
rnacentral:piRNA from 1 species